rnacentral:rRNA from 1 species
GGAUCAUUACACAAUAUGAAGGCGGGCUGGACAAACCCCCCCUAGCUGGGCA